AGGCCAUAAUCCGUGUCCAUUCUUUCCGCUUCAUCCAGGUGUUCCAUUGGGUUGAUUCCGUGGGGCCAGGGAUGCCAUAUAACAAAUAGACUUUGCUUUCGAUGUCCUCUCAGCCGCCGCGCUGGCGGUUCGAAGGGGCAUAUUGGGGAGAAGAACCCUAUGGCAAAAGGCGUCAAUGGUCAUCUACAAGUAACAAAAAAUUCCAUGGGUUGAUAUCAUAGGGCAAACUUAACUAGGGGAGUCUCGACUCUCGAUGCGAGAGCUUGUUCGUAUUCGUGUUCGCGUUUGCUGUUGGGAGCCAUGGGAUUGCGAG
rnacentral:sRNA from 1 species